GCCGUUUUGGCGGCUAUGCGGGAUUGGCAGGAGCUGCGGUGCUCACACUUGCCUCGCCGACCGCCAUUUCACAUCCAGCAGAGGAGGCGGGGGCAGCCGCGGAGACGGUUUUUCACAAGUUUUUCCACAGUUAUGAAACUGGAUGUGCCACACAACAUGCUCUUCAGCUGGUCGGAAAACAAAAGUGUUUUUUCAAGGCCUAGCUGAGUGUCGUCUUUUGCAUGCACUUGUGGGCCCACAGCUGAACGGGAGGCAAAGAGACGCAAAAAGCUUUCUCCAUAUUUACGUGCUUGUAACUCUGGCAUGACCUUUGCUCCAGUCUCUACCAGAGGGCGGCACCUGGAUUGAAGUGGAAAAGCCCUGUUUUCCAGCCAUGACCCAGGGAGCAAGCACCGACUCCUCAGGGGAACAGGAGACCUGCCAACUAGGACCCUGGGAGCCUCCAUGUUGGCAGUGCCCUGCGUCGUCUCGGGUUCACCAGCAAAUCUUCGGGGGAAAGCAGGGCUGGAGGGCGAGGAAACCCAGGAGAGUUCCUAGCUCAGAAUCCCUCUCUGAGGCUCCCGAUACAGAUGCCCAGGCCCCACACCCAGAGACUCUGAGUAUUUUUGUUUAUCGUAUGUAAAAGACUAGUGUAUUUUUGUUUAAGUCUCACAGGUAAACAAGUUCUCUCGUACUUUGUCAAGGGAAAUGUAAUCUGUGCAAUUUGGCAGUAACUAUCAGAAUUUUAAAAGCAUAUGCCCUUUGACCUAGUAAUUUCACUUCUAAGAAUUUCCCCUGCAGAGGUGUGUAUAUCUUGUAUGAAAUGAAGAGGCUAUGAAAACAGCCAACGCCGCAGUGUUUAAAAUAGCAAAGACCGGACACAACCCACAUGUCUAAAGGUUCUGAUGUUUAAAACUGUAGUAUAUCUGUACAAUGAGCACUCCACAUCCUUUAAGAACGAGGAAGGGCUGUGUGAACUGAAAUGGAACUAUCUCUAAGAUGUAUUAAGUUAAAAAAAAAUCCAAGAGUAGCACAGUGUGUAGGGUAUGCCAUCCUUUGUAUGAUAAAAGGUCGUAUAUCUGCCAUCUCAAAUGAGGAACAGUGGUUGCCUCUGGGAAGGGAACUGGAUGGCUAGGAAUGCGGUAUUGGAAAGAGGUUUGCUUUUCAGAACAUUUUAUACCAUUUAAGUUUUGUCACAAGGGCGCCUGUAUUGACUUAAAAGAUAAAAAAUGAAAAGGAAAGGCUCUGCUCGUGAUUCUGAUGCUCACAAAGAUUAAGAACCAAUGUGAAUGAGGAACUCAUGAGACCGCCCAGAGGAGAGUGAACAAGUCUCUUCAAAUAUCAAAAACCAUUCAGCAGAGGCUGAGAACACGUGCCUGGGAGCCAUUCACCUUGAAGCUGAGGAGGCAUGGAAGCAGGCCACCUGUGUUCUGUACAGCAUCACCAGGCUGGAAAUCUGCCAUGGCUUUCCUUCAAGCCAUUACAAUAGAGGAUACAGAUGAGGCUGCAGAGGCAUCUUGAUUUGAGAAAAGCAUUUGAUUGGAUCUCAUUAAAUUUUAAUCAUAAACUGAAUUCAAAAUAAAUUGAAAACUGGUUGACAGAGCACCAACAAAGGGUGAUGAUAAAUGGUGAUGCAUCUAGAGAGGAGCUAUCUUCCAGGGGACAACUCUACGGCAAGGACGGAUGGGAUUUAAUGAAGGUGUUAUGUCCCCACAAGAAGACAAAUCGCGCAGCAAGGAACAGAGGAAGGGCAGGAGUGAGCAGCCUGAGUAAUUAAUAAACCGUAUGAACAGCUCUUCCAUAAUCAGGCCUUGGUGAUCACAACUGCUUGGAUUUUUUCUUAAGGUUUUUUUGAGUCAGGAAUAGGUCUGAAGAGUCCUAGAGACGCACAGCAUGAAUAUUUCAGGUGGACAUUAAAAAGAAAUCUAUAAAUUUACAGCUGGGAGGAUCCUGAGAUCUACUUUGGAUCAGAAACUUUCAAUUACAAGAUUCCCAAGGCCAUACUUCAUUCCCCAGAGAGUAAUCUUUUUAAUAAAUGUCCAAAAGUCAUGGACUGUAAAAAAAAAAAAAUACAUCUAAACUCAUUAAUGUCCUUUGUUUACUGCCCAAAUGCAUGCAAACUUUCAUAACGCUGUUUUGUUGAGUGGAAGGUUGGUUUUGAGUGAACUGUUUGGCUCAGAUUCAAACUCCAGUGAACAAAUACUUCCAAGUUUACUUGCAGAAUUUCCCAGACAGAGAAGUUCUUCCACUGGGCUUGCCAGAGGACUUGAAACAGUGGUGAGCCCUGGAAGGAAGGGAACAUUUACUGGCCCUUGGAUAGAACCCAGCACAGUAAGACUCACAUCAGGCUGAAGGCAGUGCAGUGUGAACCGACCUAAUUUGAGGAAGUUUGCUCUGGGACUCCUCUGAGCUACUAAAUGAGGAGAAGGACUAAUGGGAACACACUGACUCCAUCACAUCAGAAGUUAUAAUAAACAUUUACAGAACAACCUCAAA